AGAAACUCAAAGGAAUUGACGGGGCCCGCGACAAGCGGUGGAGCAUGUGGUUAAUUCGAUGAUACGCGAGGAACCUUAACCUGGGCUCAAAUGUAUGUUGACGUAUUCUGAAAGGGAUACUUCUUCGGACAAUAUGCAAGGUGCUGCAUGGUUGUCGUCAGCUCGUGCCGUGAGGUGUCGGGUUAAGUCCCAUAACGAGCGCAACCCCUAUUGUUAGUUGCCAUCAGGUCAUGCUGGGGACUCUAACAAAACUGCCCGCGUAAGCGUGGAGGAAGGUGGGGAUGACGUCAAAUCAGCACGGCCCUUACGUCCAGGGCUACACACGUGCUACAAUGGCCGGUACAGAGGGCAGCCACUUGGUGACAAGGAGCAAAUCUCAAAAGCCGGUCUCAGUUCGGAUCGGAGUCUGCAACUCGACUCCGUGAAGUUGGAUUCGCUAGUAAUCGUAGAUCAGCAAUGCUACGGUGAAUACGUUCCCGGGCCUU
rnacentral:rRNA from 1 species